AUGUAGCUUAGUGGAUAAAGCGCCUGUUUUCUAAGCCGGAAGUCAGUGGUUUGACCCCUAUAUA
rnacentral:tRNA from 1 species